rnacentral:rRNA from 1 species
AUGGAGGGGAGCGGCAGGCAGGGGAAGGGCGGGGCGCCGGCGUGGGCGCCCAGCGAGGGCACGGUGUUCCGGCCCUUCGUCGCGGCCGCAGGGGCGGCUGAGCCGUCCCCGUCGGGGUCGGGCAGUGGCGUUGCCGCACGCAUAAGCAAGCUUCAUGGCGUCAAGAGGAAACCGUGCGUUGCAAGGCUAACGGCGGACAUCAUUAACACUUUUGAAAGAUGCCACCCCGAGUUUAAGUACUCAGAGACACUAAACCCAAAGCGCUUUCUCACCCAUCCUUCAACCCCAGCCCACAAUGAUGGAGUUGAUAAUGCAAAUUGGGACCUCAUAUUGUAUGUCAACCUGGAGUUGGUCAACAAGACAUCAAAUCGGAGGUUCAUUGUCAAGGAAAUGCUUGGCCAAGGCACGUUUGGCCAAGUUGUGAAAUGCUGGGACACAGAAACCAACAAGUAUGUUGCUGUGAAGGUUAUAAAAAACCAGCCCGCGUUUUAUCAGCAGGCCAUCAUGGAGGUUUCACUGUUGCGAACGCUAAAUCAGAAAUUUGAUCCUGAUGAUAAGCACAACAUUGUCCGAAUGCUAGAUUAUCUCUCAUUCCAAAAUCACCUGUGUAUUGCCUUUGAAAUGCUUGGUCAAAAUCUGUAUGAGCUUUUAAAAAGGAAUCAUUUAAGAGGAUUGAAAGUGCAAUUUGUACAGGCCUUCUCAAAACAGAUAUUAGAUGCCAUGAUAGUGAUGAGAGAUGGUGGCAUCAUUCACUGCGAUCUGAAACCAGAAAAUAUCCUCUUAGCUCCGACUGCAAAAACAGCUGCAGCAGUGAAAGUUAUCGAUUUUGGAUCAGCAUGCCUGGAGGGUAAAACUGUGUACUCAUACAUCCAGAGCCGCUAUUACAGGUCUCCAGAAGUUCUCCUUGGCUAUCCAUAUACUACUGCGAUUGAUAUGUGGUCAUUUGGUUGCAUAGUUGCCGAACUGUUUAUAGGACUACCCUUAUUUCCUGGGGCAUCAGAAUAUGAUGUGCUUAAGCGUAUGCUAAAGAUUCUCGGGGGGCAACCACCAGAUGACUUGCUAAGGGAAGCUAAGAAUACUGCUAAAUUUUUUAAACAUGUUGGAAGUGGUUAUCUGGGUAUUGGGGCACAUGAUGGCCCUGGCACUGCAUACAGAAUGUUAAGUGAAGACGAGGUCGAGGGGAGGGAGACCAAAAGGCCGAAAUUAGGGAAAUGGUACUUCCCACAGCAAAGGUUGGACCAACUAAUAUAUACCUAUCCUUGGGACAAUACAAAAUUGCCAGAGACAGAAAAAGCAGAUCGCGUGCUGUUAGUUGAUUUCUUGAGGGGACUUCUUGAAUUUGAUCCAAAUAAGCGAUGGUCGCCAUUUCAGGCGUCAGGCCAUCCAUUCAUUACAGGCGAACCUUUUAUUGGUCCAUAUGAGCCUGUCUCUGAGACUCCAAGAAUUCCUGUUGCUCAUGCUGCAGCAGUUGAUCACAACCCAGGAGGAGGUCACUGGUUAGUUGCAGGUCUUUCCCCUCAGGUUGGAAGUGCGAACAGAUGUCUACCUCCUAAUAACCCCUAUCCUCCAAAAAUGCCUUUUUCUUAUGGGAGUAGUUAUGGAAGCCUUGGUAGCCAUGGUAGCUAUGCUGGCAAUGCCGGUCUUGCUAGCAGCUAUGGAAGCUAUGGUGAUGUUAAUAAUGCCAACAUGUAUUACUCACCAUUAGGUCCUUCUGGAUUUUCACAUGUUAGCUCUAGUCCAGAUAUUAGGCUGAGACCUCGUCUCUCUUAUGAUAGAGGCAUUCGAUUGAGCCCUGGAAGUAUGGGGCCUAUGUCUCUUGGUGCCAGUCCAUCACAAUUUACCCCACCAAACUACCAGAUGCAUACCCCGGCUAAUUCUACUGGGAAGCAUGGCUCUGGUUCUCCUGCGAGUGGAGGCAUUCAUGGCUCCCCAUUGGGAAAAGCUGCACCAGUAGGCCAAUACAGCAGGAGGAAGAACAUGCCGAUGCCACCACAUGAAUAUACAUCUCAGCAUGGACAAGGACGACAUGGAGAUGGUGUCAGUUUUAGUCAUUCGGAUGCCUAUAUUCGCGGACAUGCUGGCUACUCUCAGCACUCAUUACCUAGUUCUGGUCAUUCUAGUUGGAGACCACAAAUAACUUCCAGGAGUGGGUUUUCCAUGGAGGCUUCUUCUAGUCAUGGGCCUUCCCAAGCAUAUAGUUCACAUAAUGCUCCACCUUUGCCCUCAUUUGACGCAUUACCGGAUACAUCAGCUCCAUCAACACUUGAUCCUUCUGAUUGGGAUCCUAAUUAUAGUGAUGAGUCACUAUUGCAAGAAGACAAUUCAUUGUCAGCUGAUUUAAGCAGCAACCUUCAUCUUAGAGAUGCAACUGGUCAGCCAGGCGGAUCUGCCAGAUCAACCCGUGCCCAAAGCCACAACUUUGCAAGCUCAAACCCUUUACCGACAAGCCAAAGCUACGGAGCGGGUCAACAACUUCACUCAGGCUCCCAUGGGAGGAGCACCCGUCCUACUGUUCCACUCAGUUACGGUGGUUUCAACCCUCCGAAUUAUCCUCAGCAAAGUCUCCGGGGUCGCCAUGGACAUCAAUUUCUUCAACCGAGAUACAACCAGCCAACUAACAGUCAUAUGCGGCCACCGAUGGGGAGUCACCAAAGUGGGCAGCCUGCAUGGCCUCCCUACGGCAUGGGCGAGGGAGUGCCCUGGGGAGGAACAGGCGUGCAUCCGUUUACGACGGGCGGGCUACCCUCGUCCCUUCCCAGAAAAGAUUAUGGGAGCAUAUUUUAG